AUAUUAAUUAAAAAUACAAUGAAUCUGCCGCCAAGGAAAGGAACACCACCAAUCAAAAAGUAGUACAAUAAGUGGCUUCAUGUCAAUGUAGAUCUCAUUCCACAAAAAAAUAUAUUACAACUUUA